ACUCCUACGGGAGGCAGCAGUGGGGAAUAUUGCACAAUGGGGGAAACCCUGAUGCAGCCAUGCCGCGUGUGUGAAGAAGGCCUUCGGGUUGUAAAGCACUUUCAGUAGGGAGGAAGGUAGUGUAGUUAAUACCUGCAUUAUUUGACGUUACCUACAGAAGAAGCACCGGCUAACUCCGUGCCAGCAGCCGCGGUAAUACGGAGGGUGCGAGCGUUAAUCGGAAUUACUGGGCGUAAAGCGCAUGCAGGCGGCCUGUUAAGUCAGAUGUGAAAGCCCGGGGUCUUAACCUCGGAAUUGCAUUUGAAACUGGCAGGCUAGAGUCUUGUAGAGGGGUUAGAAUUUCAGGUGUAGCGGUGAAAUGCGUAGAGAUCUGAAGGAAUACCAGUGGCGAAGGCGGCCCCUGGACAAAGACUGACGCUCAGAUGCGAAAGCGUGGGAGCAAACAGGAUUAGAUACCCCUGGUAGACUGUCA
rnacentral:rRNA from 1 species